AUUGAACGCUGGCGGCAGGCCUAACACAUGCAAGUCGAGCGGAGCGCCGGACGGGUGAGUAAUGCCUAGGAAUCUGCCUGGUAGUGGGGGAUAACGUCAGGAAAUGGGCGCUAAUACCGCAUACUAUCAGAUGAGCCUAGGUCGGAUUAGCUAUUUGGUGGGGUAACGGCUCACCAAGGCGACGAGCCCUAGCUGGUCUGAGAGGAUGACCAGCCACACUGGAACUGAGACAGGGUCCAUACUCAUACGGGGUGCAGGAGGGGGGAUUAUUGAACAAGGGGGGCAAGCCUGAGGGAGGCAUGCCGCGUGUAUGAAGAGGGCCUGCGGGUUGGAAAGUGGUUUCAGCGGGGAGGCGUUACCCGCAGAAGAAGCACCGGCUAACUCCGGGCAAGCAGCCGGGUUAUAC
rnacentral:rRNA from 1 species